rnacentral:tRNA from 1 species
UGAAGGGUAGUUUAAAAAGAAUGUAGAGCUGUCAACUUUAUGGUAUUAUAAUUAAUCCCUUUAA